rnacentral:rRNA from 1 species
UACAGAGGUCUCAAGCGUUGUUCGGCUUCAUUGGGCGUAAAGGGUGUGUAGGUGGCGCGCUAAGUCGGGUGUGAAAUUUCGGAGCUUAACUCCGAAACUGCAUUCGAUACUGGCGUGCUUGAGGACUGGAGAGGAGACUGGAAUUCAUGGUGUAGCAGUGAAAUGCGUAGAGAUCAUGAGGAAGACCAGUGGCGAAGGCGGGUCUCUGGACAGUUCCUGACACUGAGACACGAAGGCCAGGGGAGCAAACGGG